UAGGGAAUCUUCGGCAAUGGGGGCAACCCUGACCGAGCAACGCCGCGUGAGUGAAGAAGGUUUUCGGAUCGUAAAGCUCUGUUGUAAGAGAAGAAAGUGUGUGAGAGUGGAAAGUUCACACAGUGACGGUAACUUACCAGAAAGGGACGGCUAACUACGUGCCAGCAGCCGCGGUAAUACGUAGGUCCCGAGCGUUGUCCGGAUUUAUUGGGCGUAAAGCGAGCGCAGGCGGUUUAAUAAGUCUGAAGUUAAAGGCAGUGGCUUAACCAUUGUUUGCUUUGGAAACUGUUAAACUUGAGUGCAGAAGGGGAGAGUGGAAUUCCAUGUGUAGCGGUGAAAUGCGUAGAUAUAUGGAGGAACACCGGUGGCGAAAGCGGCUCUCUGGUCUGUAACUGACGCUGAGGCUCGAAAGCGUGGGGAGCAAACAGG
rnacentral:rRNA from 1 species